GUCGUGGCUGGAUUAGAGAUCGGCUACGAUGUGUUUUAAUUUAACUUUAUUAGGAGUUUAUUUAUGUCUCUAAGCACUGAAGCAAAAGCAAAAAUCGUCGCUGAGUAUGGUCGUGAUGC
rnacentral:ncRNA from 1 species